UUAUUCUUCUUUAUUCUCCCAUUUCUCUCGAGAGCAAAACUAGGGUUGCCGAAGAGGCGACUCCAUUUUCUUCUCAUCUUCAACCUUUUAUCUUCUUUACUAACUCCAACGCUCACCUAACUACAUCACAGUCAUCACCACCAUCAUCUCCAGUUGCUGCUGAUAUUUGUUGAUAAUCAGAUGUAGUCUACAGAUGCUGCUUGGAAGAACCUCUAGAAUAUCUAUCAUAUUGGAGUUUACAUAAGUUGAAGAAUAAAACCUUAGUCUGCUAGCUAUCAUUCGUUGAUUCGUUGAUUCUUUAUUCAUUCAUUUUUUCUUACAAAAGUAUCAAAACAGUCUAGUAACUCUAGUUUGCUUCAAGUUGCUUUCAAUUUGCUUGGGAUUAUUAUCAGUUUAUUUAGAGAUUUUUCAUUUUGCUUAAAGAUUAUUAUCAGUUUGAUUAUGGAAUUUAUUAUUAUUCUUAGCAAA